ACACAUGCAAGUCGAACGGUGAAGAGAAGCUUGCUUCUCGGAUCAGUGGCGGACGGGUGAGUAACACGUGAGCAACCUGCCUUUAAGAGGGGGAUAACGUUUGGAAACGAACGCUAAUACCGCAUAACAUAGAAGAUUCGCAUGUUUCUUCUAUCAAAGAUUUAUCGCUUAAAGAUGGGCUCGCGUCUGAUUAGCUGGUUGGUGAGGUAACGGCUCACCAAGGCGACGAUCAGUAGCCGUACUGAGAGGUAGAACGGCCACAUUGGGACUGAGACACGGCCCAGACUCCUACGGGAGGCAGCAGUGGGGAAUAUUGCACAAUGGAGGGAACUCUGAUGCAGCGAUGCCGCGUGAGGGAAGAAGGUUUUAGGAUUGUAAACCUCUGUCUUCAGGGACGAUAAUGACGGUACCUGAGGAGGAAGCUCCGGCUAACUACGUGCCAGCAGCCGCGGUAAUACGUAGGGAGCGAGCGUUGUCCGGAAUUACUGGGUGUAAAGGGAGCGUAGGCGGGAUCUUAAGUCAGGUGUGAAAACUAUGGGCUCAACCCAUAGACUGCACUUGAAACUGAGGUUCUUGAGUGAAGUAGAGGCAGGCGGAAUUCCUAGUGUAGCGGUGAAAUGCGUAGAUAUUAGGAGGAACAUCAGUGGCGAAGGCGGCCUGCUGGGCUUUUACUGACGCUGAGGCUCGAAAGCGUGGGGGGCAAACAGGAUUAGAUACCCUGGUAGUCCACGCUGUAAACGAUGAUUACUAGGUGUGGGGGGACUGACCCCUUCCGUGCCGCAGUUAACACAAUAAGUAAUCCACCUGGGGAGUACGGCCGCA
rnacentral:rRNA from 1 species